CGGGAUACCCGAGGGAAACUUCGGUUAAUACGGUAUAAGACCACACUACCGCAUGGUAGAGGGGUAAAAGGGGCAACCUGGUAUGAGAUGGACUCGCGUCGCAUUAGCUAGUUGGUGAGGUAACGGCCCACCAAGGCGACGAUGCGUAGCCGACCUGAGAGGGUGAUCGGCCACAUUGGGACUGAGAUACGGCCCAGACUCCUACGGGAGGCAGCAGUGGGGAAUAUUGGGCAAUGGAGGAAACUCUGACCCAGCAAUGCCGCGUGAAUGAAGAAGGUCUUCGGAUUGUAAAGUUCUUUAGUCAGGGAAGAAGUCAAUGACGGUACCUGAAGAAUAAGCUCCGGCUAACUACGUGCCAGCAGCCGCGGUAAUACGUAGGGAGCAAGCGUUGUUCGGAAUGACUGGGCGUAAAGGGUGCGUAGGCGGUUGUACAAGUUAGAAGUGAAAUACCCAGGGCUUAACUCGGGUGCUGCUUCUAAAACUGUAUGACUUGAGUGCAGUAGAGGUUAGUGGAAUUCCUAGUGUAGCGGUGGAAUGCGUAGAUAUUAGGAGGAACACCAGAGGCGAAGGCGGCUAACUGGACUGCAACUGACGCUGAGGCACGAAAGUGUGGGGAGCAAACAGGAUUAGAUACCCUGGUAGUCCACACUGUAAACGAUGGAUAAUAGAUGUAGGAGGUAUCGACUCCUUCUGCGUCGCAG
rnacentral:rRNA from 1 species